UGCGAAAUGUCUGGGCACCUUUUGU
rnacentral:piRNA from 1 species